UCCCUGGAGGACUAGUGGUUAGGCCACAGUGCUCUCACUGCCGAGGCCCGGGUUCGAUUACCGGCCGGGGAA
rnacentral:tRNA from 1 species